UUUCAAUGGAAAGAACAUCUGUCCUGUCCCCGUGAUAAUAUCUACCCUGAGCCCCUGCCACAUGCCAGGCACUGUUCUAAGUGCAGAGGAUUUGGGUUGCAGUGUCCUGCCAUCUUGGAAGUUGCAGGUUAGUGGAGAAACCAGCAGCAGUGACGUAAGCAGCACACAAUGUAUGCAGUUAAAACCAUGGUAGGUGCUAAGGGUGUAGAGUCAAGAGUACCCAAAAUGCAACAGGAAGAACUCAGCUCAGUUGGAGGUGAUCUAGAACUCCUUGAAAGAUUGAAGGUUUUGGUGCUACCUAAUGGAUAAAUAUAAAUCUAGGUGAAAAUGGGGCAGACAGGUCCAGUAUAGUACAUGUAUGAAGACUGGGGUCACCCAGCAGGUCCCAGCCAGGAAAGGGAGGUGCAUCUGCCUGGAUUCCUGCCUUUGUGGGUAAGGAAGGCUCUAGCACCAGCAGGCCACGGCCAGGCCCUCUGCUUCUCCUUGCAUCUGUGGUGUGUUCCACCUUCUCAAGCUGGCUCCUAGUGUCCAGUCCCCAAGAGAACUCUGCACAGUGCAAGCCUGGCCUCCCACAGCCAGUCUGCCUGCAAGUCUCAGUUUACACUUCAGGGUGCUGAUGGGGAAGGAGGAACAGGAUUCCUCAGCCCUGCAUUCCUGGCCAUCUGCCCCCUACUACUUCAGAUAAGGUGUUAAUGUCCCUGAACAGGAAAGAAGAGCCAGAGGCCAGUGCUUGGGAAGGUGAGUAGGGAGCAAAGAAAUGCAAGGAGCAUCUGACAUUAUCUUAUCAACGUUGAAAAGA
rnacentral:lncRNA from 1 species